UAGCUUAUUUGUUUGCACCAUCUUAUUCCAUCUUAAUUUCUUUCAGGAGAUGCUGGCUACCCGUGCGGUCGGUGGCUAAUAACACCAAUUCACAGGCCGCGCUCACGGGCGGAGUGUGACUUCAAUCAAGCACAUGUGAGAACGCGGUCUGUGAUAGAGCGGACGUUUGGUGUCCCCAAGAGCCGGUUCCGCUGCCUCAACAGAUCAGGAGGCAGCCUGCUGUACAGCCCCACCAAAGUGGCAAAUAUCAUCGCUGAGGUGGCCGAUGACCUUGAGGACCCCGUCCAUCCACCGGAUCCUGUCCAACGUGCGGAUGCCCAAAGGAGUCAAGUCCGGGGACAAAUUGUUAAUAAUUACUUUGCCUGAUCGCUGCGUGGGGAGGCCAGCCCAGACAAGGAGCAACCACCUUUGAAAAGAAAGAAGAAAAAAAACUUAGUUCAUUUUGGAUUAUGUUCAUGGACAAUAAUGAGUUUUGUGAAAACAUAAACAAGUUAAUUUUGGCCAAAAUAUUUGUGGACAUUGAUUCAUUCCAAAUAAGGCAAAAAGGUAAA